AGGGAUGUAGCUCAGGGGUAGAAUGUUCACCUAGCAUGUGGGAGGCCCUGGGUUUAAUCCCCAGUACCACUA
rnacentral:tRNA from 2 species